rnacentral:rRNA from 1 species
CAGUAGCCGCGGGAACACGGAGGGGGCUAGCGUUGUUCGGAAUUACUGGGCGUAAAGCGCACGUAGGCGGCUUUGUAAGUUAGAGGUGAAAGCCCGGAGCUCAACUCCGGAAUUGCCUUUAAGACUGCAGAGCUAGCAGGUGAGAGAGGUGAGUGGAAUUCCGAGUGUAGAGGUGAAAUUCGUAGAUAUUCGGAGGAACACCAGUGGCGAAGGCGGCUCACUGGCUCAUACUGGACGCUGAGGUGCGAAAGCGUGGGGAGCAAACAGGAUUAGAUACCCCGGUAGUCCCUGUCUCUUAUAC